CCUACGGGAGGCAUCAGUGGGGAAUAUUGGACAAUGGGGGGAACCCUGAUCCAGCCAUGCCGCGUGUGUGAAGAAGGCCCUCGGGUUGUAAAGCACUUUCAGUGAGGAAGAACGCCUGGUGGUUAAUACCCAUCAGGAAAGACAUCACUCACAGAAGAAGCACCGGCUAACUCCGUGCCAGCAGCCGCGGUAAUACGGAGGGUGCGAGCGUUAAUCGGAAUUACUGGGCGUAAAGCGCGCGUAGGUGGCUUGAUAAGCCGGUUGUGAAAGCCCCGGGCUCAACCUGGGAACGGCAUCCGGAACUGUCAAGCUAGAGUGCAGGAGAGGAAGGUAGAAUUCCCGGUGUAGCGGUGAAAUGCGUAGAGAUCGGGAGGAAUACCAGUGGCGAAGGCGGCCUUCUGGACUGACACUGACACUGAGGUGCGAAAGCGUGGGUAGCAAACAGGAUUAGAUACCCUUGUAGUC
rnacentral:rRNA from 1 species